rnacentral:lncRNA from 1 species
GCCAUGGUGACUACCCUCAUAAGUCUCUGAGACAACGUGACUGAGUUCUUCGGUGGUUCCUGUGGCCUUGGAGAGAAAAUCUGAAGAGCUUCAAUAUUCUGACCAUCGAUUCCUGAAACAAGGCUCUAUGUGACAGAACUCUCAUUUCCACUGACUUUCCAAACCACCCUACUCUCUGGCACAAUAUCUGCGUCCAUAAAGAUUCACCUAGGGCUGCCCAUCCCCUAAAAUGAUACUGUCUCGUUGUUUCUGCUUGGGGAUCUGCUCCUGACUGCCUUAACCUCCAAGGCCAGCUGCCUCGAGAUAUAGCAUCACAUUUCCCCAUGGACCUUACUUCCCC